CUGGAGUUCAGGAAGGAGGUGUGUAAGAUGGAGAGCGGAUGUUCCUGUUUGACGUCCAUCUAUGCAUCAGUAAGGUCCAGUAAUCAGGGCGAGCAUGCCAUUUUAUCACAGAUUUGGUGAUCAGGCAAAAAGCCUCACAAAAUGCAUCAGCAUCGUCGGAGGAAGGAAUUUCCCCUGCAACCAGAGGGUUGUCAGUUUAAGCCCCGGUGUCGUUGGGCAAUACACUUAACCCGCACUUCACCUGCCUACUGAUAGUGGUCAGAGAGCCUGGUGGCACCAGUGGACGGCAGCCUCAUUUCUGUCAGUGAGCCCCAGGACAGUUGUGGCUACAAUGUAGCUUGCCACCAUCAGUAUGUGAGUGUGUGCUUG